UACGUAGGGUGCAAGCGUUGUCCGGAAUUAUUGGGCGUAAAGAGCUCGUAGGCGGUCUGUCGCGUCUGCUGUGAAAAUCCAGGGCUCAACCCUGGACCUGCAGUGGGUACGGGCAGACUAGAGUGCGGUAGGGGAGAUCGGAAUUCCUGGUGUAGCGGUGAAAUGCGCAGAUGUCAGGAGGAACACCGGUGGCGAAGGCGGAUCUCUGGGCCGUAACUGACGCUGAGGAGCGAAAGCAUGGGGAGCGAACAGG
rnacentral:rRNA from 1 species